AGCGACAAUAGGAUUUGCUCCUUUGACGUUAGCGGCGGCACGGGUGAGUAACACGUGGGCAACCUACCCUAUAGUUUGGGAUAACUCCGGGAAACCGGGGCUAAUACCGAAUAAUCUAUUUCUCCUCAUGGUGAAAUACUGAAAGACGGUUUCGGCUGUCGCUAUAGGAUGGGCCCGCGGCGCAUUAGCUAGUUGGUGAGGUAACGGCUCACCAAGGCGACGAUGCGUAGCCGACCUGAGAGGGUGAUCGGCCACACUGGGACUGAGACACGGCCCAGACUCCUACGGGAGGCAGCAGUAGGGAAUCUUCCACAAUGGGCGAAAGCCUGAUGGAGCAACGCCGCGUGAGUGAAGAAGGUUUUCGGAUCGUAAAACUCUGUUGUAAGGGAAGAACAAGUACAGUAGUAACUGGCUGUACCUUGACGGUACCUUAUUAGAAAGCCACGGCUAACUACGUGCCAGCAGCCGCGGUAAU
rnacentral:rRNA from 1 species